GCACUGUGUGUGUGUGGGGAGCGGUGGUGCAGUGGUUAGCGCAGUGUGGGGAGCGGUGGUGCAGUGGUUAGCGCACUGUGUGUGGGGAGCGGUGGUGCAGUGGUUAGCGCACACUGCCCAUCUCCCCAGCUGCGACUCCCCCUCUGAAUGUCCGCGUGGAGUCUCGCGACCUGCUGACGCAACUCCGCUGGGACCACGACGCUCAAGUGGACGUCGCCACCAGCAGCAGCUCAAAGCUCCUGGACGUUGCCUACAGGGUGGACAGCAAACUCUAUGGACGAGCCCGCUGGCGGACCGUCUGCGCUGCCACCGCAGAGACACGCCGUGCUGAGUGCUCCGACUGUCACCUUGAUGCUCCACAAGGAUGCGACGCUGGAGGAGGGUGGUGAGGAGGGUGGUGAGGAGGGUGGUGACGAGGGUGGUGACGAGGAGGAGGAGUGUGGUAGUGAGCGUGAGGACUACAAACAUGACGACAAAGAUGGCUACGAGAAUGACGACGACGAUGACGAUGAGGGUGAUGGCGGCGAUGACGGUGAUGGCGGUGGCGACGAGGGAGAGCGGUGGGAGCUGUCCGUGCGGGUCUCCAUGAGGAGCGAGUGGAGGAGGAGGAUGGCGCAGAGUGACGUGCUGUACCAUCUACAAGCCGAGGUCUCCACAAGGAGGGGUGUGACUAGCACGGAGCGCUUUGUGGGAUGUCGCUACCGCCACGCGCUGCCUCAGCCUGCAGGCGCUGCUGAGUACUGCGUCCGCGUGAGAGUCGCGGCUCGCUACCCGCGGUGGAAGACAGGGGAGUGGUCUCCACUGUCGUGUGUCUCCGUCCCUCCACCACACAGCGCCGUGGCGGCCGUGUCGCCUCCAUCAGCUCGCUGGUGGCCAUGGCGACGCUGCUGGUGACGCUGCUGGUGCUGGUGCUGGCGCUGGUGUGCACCGUGCGGAACAGACGGAGCCCCGGCAAUCGUCCCGCGAUGGAGCAGCCAGCGACCGCCCCGAGCCUGCUCCCUGACAGUCCCGGCAGCCACCACCAUCACUGCGACCACCGCCAUCACCACCACUACGACCACCACCAUCACCACGGCGGUGGUGGAGGAGGAGCAGAGAUGGCAACUCUAGAAUCCUGCCCCCGGCCCUGGUUGGCAUUGCCGGAUGAAAGCCGCUCACCGAGUCGUCUCCGCACCAACCCGUUCACCUCCUGCAGGGUGACCGUGCGCUGGCCGCGAGACAGUGACCACCUCGCGUGGCACGCGCGACGUGCCGGGUUCCAGCUCGAGCCGUGACGACGACGCCCGCCGCUGUUGGCUCGGAGUUGGCGGCGUCCGUCUCUCCGCGUGGCGACGUCCGUUCCAGAGGAGAAUGAAUGAUGUUUUACACGGCAAGUUAUACAUGUGUAGUGUUGUAAA